rnacentral:rRNA from 1 species
AAUAGUUUCUUUGGUGGUGACCUACUACUUGGAUAACCGUAGUAAUUCUAGAGCUAAUACAUGCGUAAAUCUCGACUCACGAAGAGACGUAUUUAUUAGAUAAAGACCGACCUCGUUCUGCGGUGAAUCAUAAUAACUUCACGGACCGCAUGGCUUUAUGCCGGCGGUGUUCCAUUCAAAUUUCUGCCCUAUCAACUUUCGACGGUAGGAUAGAGGCCUACCGUGGUGCUCACGGGUGACGGAGAAUUAGGGUUCGAUUCCGGAGAGGGAGCCUGAGAAACGGCUACCACA